GGUGGUUCAGUGGUAGAGUGCUUGCCUUACAUGCAUGAGGCCGUGGGUUCGAUUCCUAGCACCA
rnacentral:tRNA from 1 species